GUUUCCUGUGGGACGCGG
rnacentral:miRNA from 1 species